GAUGAACGCUAGCGGCAGGCUUAACACAUGCAAGUCGAGGGGUAACAUAGGAAAGCUUGCUUUUCUGAUGACGACCGGCGCACGGGUGCGUAACGCGUAUACAACCUACCUUUUAGCGGGGAAUAGCCCAGGGAAACUUGGAUUAAUGCCCCAUAGUAUAUAGACUUCUCCUGAAGUUUAUAUUAAACAUUUAUGGCUAUUAGAUGGGUAUGCGUCCUAUUAGUUAGUUGGUAAGGUAACGGCUUACCAAGGCAGCGAUAGGUAGGGGUCCUGAGAGGGAGAUCCCCACACUGGUACUGAGACACGGACCAGACUCCUACGGGAGGCAGCAGUGAGGAAUAUUGGACAAUGGGCGAGAGCCUGAUCCAGCCAUGCCGCGUGCAGGAAGACUGCCCUAUGGGUUGUAAACUGCUUUUACAGAGGAAGAACCACCCCCACGUGUGGGGGUUUGACGGUACUCUGCGAAUAAGGAUCGGCUAACUCCGUG
rnacentral:rRNA from 1 species